rnacentral:rRNA from 1 species
AAACCCUGGGUAUGCGCAGGUCAAACAUCCCGGAUGCCACCGUUAAAGAGGUCCGGCCGUUCCGUUGUGACCCCGUAACGACUGAGCGCGCAGAAGUGUGCGUAAUGAGAUGGCCACGCGGCUAGCUCGAGCAUCGUCCCCUGGGAGACCGGGGGGCACACGAAUCGUUCCGACGGUUCGCGACACAAGUCUCGGGUGUGCCACACAAAACGCGGCCAUCAUACGCCGACCCCACGAGUGCUCGUGGGUGAAGACAUAGUCUAACUCCGGGCGUAAGCCUGGGUAAAGUUGCGAUGUCGGCUCUUCCCAUCCUGGUCCUGCAGCAGGGGCCAAGGGUGGGGCUGCUCGCCCAUUAAAGGGGAACGUGAGCUGGGUUUAGACCGUCGUGAGACAGGUCGGCCUCUACCUGAUGGAAGCGGUGGUUCACUGAGGGGAAGCCCUGCCCAGUACGAGAGGAACAGCGGGGCGUUGCCUCUGGCGUACCGGUCGUCCGAGAGGGCGUCGCCGGGCAGCUAAGCAAUUGUGGAUAACCGCUGAAAGCAUCUAAGCGGGAAGCCACUCCCGAGAAGAGUGAGCCUUAGGCCUUAACCCCUGCAGCAAUGUGGGGGAGCGGGCCUUGGAGGGGAGCGAUAGAAGAUCGCGUUGAAGUGGUGGGGGUGUACGCUGGAAGCUUCGGCGACCAGUUCAGCCCGUCCACUAACUAUACCCCAACGCAGGAUGAGU